GUUUUUGAACAUGUUACAGUGCUAAAAUUGUCCUUCAGGAGAGAAGGAGCUCUGGCUGCAGGUAGGCUGAUGUUUGAACGCGAGGGAAGCACCAGAGGCACCCUCAGUGGCAGGAGCAGCCUGUUGGGCACGCCUGCCCUGCAGGUGUGACAGGAGGGCUCUGCAGCACCGUCUGAUCGGGAGCUGUCAGUGCGGUGCUGUGACCAGCAGAGUGUGCCCUUCCCUCCCCUGUGCCUGGCUGCACUGAACAAAACACAGUUCCCGCUGGAAGGACAGAGAGAUAUCUCCUUAGCAUGCUGCCCCGGGUCCUGUGGGACACAAGGAGCUUCCUUACAGGAGUAGAGCUUCACGUUCCACACGGCUUGCUGGACUGAUUGCCUCUCUUGGAGUUUAUGCACUGCAUCCACAUGUAACAUUCUGAAAUGCAGGUUCUGCUCCUUAGGCCUGGGGCUCCCUCUUGCUCCAGGUGGAGCUGGGGCAGCUUUGCCACCAGCUCCAGUGGAGAGGGUCAGGUGCUGCACCUGAUCUCCUGUAGGAACACCUGGCCAUGGUCACACUAGUCCACGGAGGGAGGCUUGUGUUCAGAGGGCUCAUGGCCAGGUGUAAUCCUCCCAGCCCACUGUGUCAUGUCUGCUCUCAUUGUUGUGCUCCUGCUCACACCUGUGUCCUUGGCUCAGCUCCGUUCCCCGUCUGUGCCCACAGCCCCAGUGUUUCUAUGCCUGUGCCACAGCUGCAACUCUGGCACUGCCAGGAGUCAUCCCUGCUGCCAUGGCAUCUCUGGGAAGCAGCAGAGAGUAAGGCUAAGGGCUAAGAGUUUACACAGGUUUACAAUAGUUUGGGAAAACAAAAAUGUUUGCAUUUCCAGUUUUCUACUCAUGUUUGUAAAACGGUGUUUACAAAAAGCUGGAACUUUUUGGUGUUGUGGGCGUAAAAAGUAUCCAUAUUUUUAUGUUUGGUGCUGUGGGAUCAUGAGUUCAUCAGGCUUGUGAACUGGAAUUUAAACACUGGAAUUUAAAAUGCCAAAGAAUAAUCAGUUAGUGCUUCUAGCACUGGAUCCUUGGGCACUCAAUUAUUCUGCUUAGCUGUGUCCUUCCUUCUUGUCUUCUUUAUUUUUUAUUUUUAAUUUAUCCAUGUACUGAGGAGUAGCAUAAGGCGCUGGAAAUUUGUCACUGAGGACUUGAGCUGAAUUUGGAGAGGUGCUGGGGCAGCCACGUUUGACUCUUUGAUCAGUUCCCUGUGCCCAGGGCUGGCUGUGGGCACAGUGACAGCUCCAGAUCCCUGUGGCACAGACCAGCUCUGGAUCCCUGCCCUCCCUCCUCUCAGGGCUGUGCUCACAGGGCCUGGCUCCAGGGCUUUCCCUUUCCCCACACUAAACAGGCACCAGGCUCAAUUUAUGGUGCUGGUGCCUCCUGCUUGCAUGAGAGGCUUUAGGAAAACAUAAUUACUCAUUUUAUUAAGUCUCUUUUUAUGCUUUGCUCCGUGUCCAUAUUUCACUCCCAUAUUUGCCUCCUCAGUGCCGGGGUGGAUGAUGUAAAAUAGAUCAAAUGAUUUCCCAGCUGAGCAGAGCUGCUGUGUUUGCUGCAGGCUGCAGCCUUUCUGGGGGUGCUUUUUCAACAGCCCAGCCUCUCCUGCUUCAAACACCCACUGAAAUUUAUGCUGCCUGUGUUAAAAGGCUUUUCUGGCAGCAUCAACUCAGCCCCAAACAAAGAGUUUCAUAUAUUAAGAGGGAAAGAAUUUUCAAUAUUCUCAGCAAUGAUUCCACGGGAGACAGAUCUGCUGUCAUCCCUCAGUGCUGCUGGGUUAUUUAUUGGUGCUCCCAGUGUGUUGUUGUGCUCUGACUGUGCUCACAGCCCUUUCCCAGCCAGGGAGGAUGCUGUGGCACCCAGUGUUGCCAGCACACUGCCACAGCCUCUCCCAUCGUGUUGGCUUUUCUCAAACUAUGGCUUAGCAGCUUCCUCUCCUGUGGUGUGUGCAGGGCACCAGGAGAACAUUUGCCUUGGAGUGCUGUUGUUUUAGAAACUGCACAGCCUGGAUGCAGAGUAGUUCCCUGUCCUGGAGGCUGGUUUGGUUUGGUUUGUUUUGUUUAAAAUAUCAUAGGGUUAGCUGAAAGUGCUUAACUCAGGGCUGAUUAAUAGCCCUAAGCUCUGCCUCUCCCUCACAUGUAUCAUUUCUUGCUAGUGUUUGGAUGUGAGACUGUUUUGCAACUUCCAUUUGCAGGGCUAUUGUAUAAGAAAGGGCUUUUUUACUCCUGUGAGAGUUGGAGACUUCCUGAACUGGUACAUUUAGGGAAAAGGCUGGAAACAGCUCCUUGUGGUACUGCAGGAGCCAGGGCAGGAUGGGCUUUAGUUAGCACAGAGGUGGCUCUGUGUGAUGGCAGUGUCUGUGUGACACACUGACCUGUGACCCUGCACAUCCUGAGGGUUACAGCCAGGUGUGGAACCAGGUUCUGUAGUUCCAGGUUCUGUAGUUCCAAGUUCUGUAGCUCCAGGCUCCCCCCAGCUGGCUUUUCCUGACAGCACCAUCACCAAGCAGGGCCAUAUUGUAUUUUCUCUUCUCUCACUCCCUGUUUUUCCUUACAUUAUCUGCUGGCAGCUCUAUUAUCAGUCACAACUUGUAUUUUCUUUCUCACCCACCCUAGUGCUCUGUCUCCUCCUCUCAGCCACUGAUGCACAUGGAGCUUGUCCUGUCCUUGUCCCCCUGGGCUGCUGUCUGCCUGCAGUGGGAGGGAUGCCCAGCUCUGUGCUCUGCAUGUGUCAGGCAGGGAGUGAUUUUGGAUCCUGCACUGUGGCACGGAGAGUGCCCGGAUGGGCAUUGCACAUAUGGCUCUGUCCCUGACAGCUUGUGCAUCAAAUUAAACACAAAUCAAGUGCAUUUCCUUCCCCCUGCCCCCUUGCCUCCAAUUCCAUUGUAAUUACUGAAAUCAAUACACAUGAGACACGACAAGGAGUUAAUUAUUUUUCUGGGAAUCGACUGUGUUACAGUAAAUAGACCCAAGCCUCCUCUAGUUGGACUCAGUGGGACUUGUGUUACCUGUGCUGGUGGGUCAGAGCCUUUACAGCCUCUGGUACCUCCAGGCUGCAGCUCUGGUGCUUUGGGUGAAGCUCUGUGACCUCCUGGUGCAGGGGAUGCUGUUGAGUGGAGCUGUUCCCUGCAGGAGGGCAAGCAGCAAAUGUGUCCUGAAAGACCUUCCAGAAGGUCAAUACCUGCUGAAAUACCUUCUAGAAGGUCAAUACCUUCUGAAAGAUCUUCUAAAAGGUAUUUCAGCAGCCCUGAGGAGCUGUGGUGAGUGUUCCAGAGUCACUUCAGCUCCCUGGGAGCUCACAGCAACAAUGCUGUGUCCACCACAAUCCCCUUUCAUCCCCGACACCUCUGCAGGAAGCCAGGCUGCCUUUUGGGCAAGCUGCACUCGAUUCAAACGCUUCCAGAUGCAUUCCAGCUCAACCACAGGCAGCUCUCCAAGAAUUUUGGGGCAGGAGUUUGGAGGAAAAGGUUAUUUCAGUUUACUGGGAUUCAUGGGACUUGCCUGGCGUGGGAUUGGACAGGGGAAAGUUGUCCUCCCAAAAAAAUCAGUAUUCAGACUCAUGGCAAAAAAACCCAUAAAAGUGAUCUGAUAGCCAGUGUCAUAUUUGAAAAGUUCUUCUAUUUUUCCCUGUUUGGGUAAAAAUUCUGUUUGUUAGUUCAUUCAAUUUGAACAUUUUCAAAGUUUAAAAAGAAAUCUGUCUUCAAUCUGUGGCUGCUAAGCUCAAAUGACUUGUGGCAUUAUCUGCCAAAAAAGCAGGGGAUUAAGAGGAUUGAAAUAAUUUACUGUUUGUUUCACUGUUCAGCUCUGGGCUUUGGUGCUUGUGUACUCAUCAGAGGGGAAUAAUACAAUGUUUAUUUACCUCAUUAAGUAGGCAACAGCACGGAGAAAUGAAGGGAAUUUUCAUGGCCUCAGUGACCAAGGAAUAUUUAAAAGGAAUAUUUAAAAGAGAAAAAAGAAACAGAGAGUGAGAUUUACAAAUGUUCCUGUGACUUGAUCUGGCAUCUUCCCACUUCUGGAUGGGAGCUUGUGUUUAAAUUUUGAGAUCAUUGGGACUGUUUAUGAUUUUGGGAUCAGUACUCCUGGCCCGUUCCCUGCAGGAUCUGGCUCUUUGCUCACACCCAGCCCCAGGUGUCAGCCCAGACUUUGAACAAAGUUGGGAUUUAACUCUGCUGGGAUUUAAGUGUGCUGUUGGUGCAGUUGCUGAGCUGCCCCCAGUUCAGGGUAUUAUUUUGGGGAAUUUAGGGUGCUCCCUUUUCUGCAGUUUCUCCCAGUGGAUAAAUGCUGCAGAGUGCACUUUCAGCCUGGGAACUGAGUAGUAAAUAAUCUCACUUCACUCGUUAAAAACAAGCAGGCUGCCCUUUAUCCUGUGCCAGUUUUGUACCAAUAAAACCUCCCUGAGUUCCCUGAAGCGACUGACACAUCCCAGGCCUGAGAGCAAAAGAGUUCAAUGAUGCUCAAAGCAUUAUUGUCACUUUGGGCCUUGCUGGUUUACAUCUUCCUUCACAAAUCCACAUUUUAAAGGGCUGUUUAUUUUUUUUUUCAGCAGAAUAAAUAUUGCAGAGUGAAAAAUGGGUAUCACAAAAAAUACAUAUAAUAAUUUGAGGUGAUAUUUAUUGUGUUAAUUUAAUGCCUUCAGUGUAACUCUUACACAUACAUGUCCUUAGAAAUAUUCCUUUUAAAACAACAACAUAACCUUUCCAGUGUGGAUAUGCAGAAUACUUCUAAAAUUAUUAAUUGAAUUCUGAUAUCGCUUUCUUUUCAAUAAAAAUGUCACCAACUCUUUGUAGGAAGAAUAUAAAUGUAAAGAAAUACUUUGAUGAAAUGGAGAAAUAUGAUAAAUAUAAAUUGGAGUUUAUUGAUAAAGGGAAGGAGAUAUUUUUCACACAUGGGUCACUCUACUGGAAGUCAGAGAUAGUCUUGGGUUUGCUCUGGAGCUGCAAUAAAAGGGGAAAUAAAUUACUUGAAAGGGCAAACUUUUCAAUUCUGCAGUAGUGUAAAUCAGAAGGAACAUGAUCAAGUUCCCAGUGUCACUGGUGAUUUAAAGAUAUUAGGUUUCUUAAAGCUGAUCUCCUUCUGAAACCUCCCUUCCCCUGUCCCAGCUUGAUCAGAGCCCCAUCAGCCUGGCUCCAGAGCUGACUGCUGUGUUAACCUGGUGCUCUCUGAGGAGAAAACAACCCAAGCCAUGCUAAAAAACUGCAGAAGCCAGGGAGUGCCAAGGUUUUGUGUCGGGAUGUUUAGGUUAGGCUGUGCAAUAUUUAAACCUGCCCAGAGAGGGCUGUGCUGGGGAAGUGUCUGUGACUGUGCAAAUUUGGUGAAUGUCAGGGAGCACCAGGGCACCAGCACAGGCUGGUCUGUGCCCUUGCCCUCUGCAGGAGCUGGGCUGGCACUCCAGGAAAUGCUAAAUGGUAAAGGACAGGAAAUGCUAAAUGAUAAAACAGGCUCAAUUCUGCAUGGGGUGUGCACAGACAGAACACACAGCUUGCAAUGCAUGGCAGCACACUCAGACAUGCCCCAUGCACACACAGCACACACAGCCCUGGCUCCCAGAGCCAGCCACAAACACCCAGGGGCACAACCAAACACCCCUGCACAGCUGGAGGCACAACCAAAUACUCCUGGUGUUGCCAUCACCACAGCAACAGCAGCAUCAUUAUCAGCCCCUCAGUGCAGCAUGACAAAUGGCAGUAGAUCCAGCUUGACACAGCUAAUGGAAAAGUGCUGAAAGAAAUAUUAAUGCCUGGUAUGUGAACUCAUUAGAGAGAUGCUUUAAAAUGCAUGAAAUGGGGGGGAAAUGUGUUCUUUAAUGAGCAGAGGAAUAAAAUCAGUGGUCCUGCAAGGGCUGUGGUGCAGGAAGGGCUCUGUGUGUGCAGUCACUAGGCAGGAGAGGGGCAGGGUUUGUGCAGAAUCCCCUGCAAAGCAGAGGCACUGAUGGAAACACUGCUGCUGGCUGCACAGGAAAGGGUAGCAGAAAUAACAAAACCGUGUUAGAGCUUCAAAACUAUACCUGAUUUAAAGAGUGUGUUGAAAAUCAUGUGUAGCCUUUCUCAGGGAAGGACUUUUCUCUCUAGAAACAACCAAAAUCAGAAGAAAUGCUGUUGUUUGGAGACGCAGUCUGUUCCCCAGGAGGCUGAGAGUACUGAGCUUGGUGGGAGAUGAAAGCCCUGCACAUCCAGCAGGGAGAGAAAGGGGCAGGGAACAUUCCAGCCCUGUUCCCACACUGCUCCCAGUGCUGCCUGGGGCAGCUUCCAGGGCCUGGCACCCUCUGGAGUCAGCACAGAAUAGCUGGGAGGGAUGUUCCCUGGAAAGAUUACUUUUCAUUAGACAUCUAAACAUCUCCUGUGAGUCACUUGCAGCAAAUCAGCAGUUUCCAGCAGAGGAGUUGCUGCAGUUCAUCAUGCAGGAGCUGUGGGGGAUGACAGUCCAUAGGCUGGCAUGGAGUGACUCAGUAAAUUCCCAUUGUUCAGCCCUGGUUUGGAGGCAGGUUUUGCCCAGAGAGUGCGGGGUGUGACUAAGCAGCCUAACUGCAGCUCUGUACCUGAGCAUGAGCUCUUCUGUGCAGUCCCAGGGAUCUGUGAGCUCUGUGUGGCAUCACUGGAUGUGCCUGGCAAGGGGAGGACUAAUCCAGAUGUGCUUUGAUACAGAGCCUGGCUCUAGGAUUGUCAAAGCGAAAUUUAAACUUUUUAACGUUAUCAUUUAACAUGGGAGCCCAGUAUUGUAAUGUUGAGUUUUCCAUCAUGAGUGUGGUGAAAGUUCACAAUUUUUGUUCUUUUUCCAUUGCUCAUAUAUGAAAGAUAAAGCAGUUUUGAUGUUCUUGUGAUAGGAAAAUCCUUCUUUUUAAACCUGCUGAGUAUGGGGCAGGGAAUCUGAGCUCUGGUUCAUUCCAUCAGCUUCCCAGCUCUCAGACUGGCCCGUGGUUUAUAGAAAUGAAGUCAUGCACUAAAGGAAGUUAUCAGGCAUAAUGUUACCCUGCUGAUAAUGGAGGGAGGUCUCUCAGCCGUUUUCAUUUCUCCUUUUCUCUAUAUCCCCACUUUCCCCCAUUUCCCCUGCUCUCCUACUUGUCCUUCUCCACCUUCCAUCAAGCUCCUUUUCUCAGCAUGUGCUUUCUUUCUCCUGCUCCUUCUGUAGCCCUUAUUUUCCACCUCUUGCACUCCCUGCUCUUUGCCAUCACUGGCUGCUCUCACAUUUCAGGGAGUGCCCACAGGUGCCUGUGGGAAUGGGGCUCUUGCAGGAGGAGCAGCCUGAAGGGGAGAGGUGUGACAGAGCUCCACGAGUGCUGUGCAGUUUGUGAGCUCUGCUGCCUUCCCUCAGCUGGGACAGAGGAUGCACAGGGCACAGAGAUGGGACAGAGGAUGCACAGGGCACAGAGAUGUGUGCAGACACUGCAGGUGCAGAUCAGCCCCUUGCACAGAGCCUGGGCCUUCCCCUCUGCUCUGCUUGGCUUCUGAGAGGCCAAACACACACAGAGUUUAGGGAUUAGAGAUUGAAUUCCUUUGAGCCCAAACCUUUUGAGCUUAUAUUUGUACCAAAACCCUUCACCAGAUAUUUCCCUUUCAGAGCUGAUCAGCCAUUUACACAGUCCUGUUCAUUGUCAAAGGCAUCUCCAGUAAUAUUCUACAUUUCCUUUGAUUUCUUUCACAUUUCUUACAGCAAGGUGACUGCUGACAAGCAAUUACAUGCCACUUUUAGUGUAACAAACACUUUGAUUUGUACAUCAAGGAAGCCCAGAUGUAUAAAUCACUUGGCAACAGAAGCAUCUCUCAAUUAGAUGAGAUAAAAUGAGGAAAGCUGAUUUCUGUGAUGCCAUAACAUCACCCACUUUCUUUUUCCCUUGCAAGAUGUGCUCUGCAAGUUCACAUUAUAGAACAGACAAUGAGUGUAGGAGUGUGCAGACACCCUAAAGCAGCAGUGUUGUAUCACACCAGCAGUGCUGUACAGGGCAUUGAUAGCAGGGACACUGAGAAUUGCAUCAGAUAAAAGUGCUGAAUGGGCCACAGGUUUGUGAUCCAACACACUGGGCAGAUAAAAUUCUUCUGACCUCUGGAGCCUCACAAAUGGAGCAGUACUUAGGAGCCAAGCUGGUACCUGUAACCUCACUAAGCUGGCCAGCAUGAAUUUUAAUCACAGUAUGAGGAAAUGAAGUAGAUAGAACCCAUUUGUUUACAUUGAUGAAGAAAUGUGGGUUUCUAUAUGUCACAGUAAAUAUUUGGCUGUGUGUGCAUAGGCACACAUGCUCACUAGCUAUAUUAAGAACAUGCAUAUGCUAUAAUUUUAGAGAUUUAGCUUGAUGCAUGUACAUUUUGGAUGCAUCUGUUAAAUUACAGUUAUUCACAGCCUUGCAGGAUGGGAAAUUCACUAUCACAAAAUUCUCUUAGUGAUUUUCAAACUGGCAUGAUCACCACGUUAAUUACAGUGUGAUUCAAACCUUUGUUUUUUACUUUCUUUCUUUUUCCCCCCUGUCCUUUAAAAUUGCCUGCUUAAUAUUCUGCUUCUCUUCUGGAAAGACAAUAAAUGGGGAAAAUUCUGCCUGCCCAUUGGGAGCCUUCCCUGGCUGUGAGCACAGCAAAUGGCACAAAGGAAAGGGACCUCAGGCAGCUGCUGGGAGUGAAAGGUUUGGUGCAGAGAAGGCAGCACAGGGCACUGAGGAUGGGAAUGAAAGGUUUGGUGCAGAGAAGGCAGCACAGGGCACUGAGGUUGGGAAUGAAAGGUUUGGUGCAGAGAAGGCAGCACAGGGCACUGAGGUUGGGAAUGAAAGGUUUGGUGCAGAGAAGGCAGCACAGGGCACUGAGGAUGCUUCCAGAGCUCAGGAGGGGCUGUGCAGGUUUCAUAGACUCUCCUCCUUCCUCUCACCCUGUAGAAAACACAGAGUAUCUGUGCCCCAACUUCCAGCUCCAGUGGCAGGAAUUCCAUCAUCCCUGCUCAGCACUGAUGGCACUGCCCUGCUGCUCCUUGAAUUGUGUUGGGGAUUUGUUAGGUUAAGCACAUGGGGCAUUUUGAGGCGUUCAGAUGAUAGAGGCUAUAGAAGUGCAAAUGAGGCAGUAAAUAGAGGAGGAAGUCAUGGAGGACUUCACUGAGAAUUAUCUGCUGGAUAGAUAAAUUCUCCUCUCAGCAAACUGCAGUGGCUCUUCCCUCCCAGAGAGGCUCUCUGCAGUGCUUUACAGGUAGCUGCUCCUCAAGGGCCCAAACAGAUUUAUCUCCUCAGCCCAGAGAUUAACACAUCCUCAGGAGUGACAGAUUGCAAAGCAGGGAGAUGGAUUGGCAGGGGAGAAGGCAAGUGAAGCUCAAAAUGUCAUCCUGCAUUCAUUAUGGCUGUGGCUCCCCAAUUAAUGCACAGAAUCUCUCCUCUCCGUGGAACCCUUACUCUGGAGCUGCACAAACCAUUCUGCCUGUCACUGUUUGUUUUUCCCCUCCUGUUCAUUGUGAAAGCCUCAUUUGGUGGCUUGAAAACAAAUGUUCCCUUCCUCCCCAUCACGUUCCUGUUCCAUUUUUCUGACUGGAAAUUACAUUUCUAAUUUUUCUUCAUGUUUAUUAAUCCAGCAGUCCUCCUUCCUGGGAUUAUCCAGAUGCAUUUGCGUCCCCACCUGGUGUGGGGAUAGGGAAAACUCCAUCUCUGGGAGCUCUUGUACCUAAAUGGAGAUUAACAGUGGUAGAUUCACAGUCCCACUCUCUUUGUUGUGUUGGUACAGUAAUGAAACCCUUUUCUGUUCCUGCACUGUUUUCUGCUGUACUCUGGUACAUCCUGGUAGGCAAUUCCUGCUCCUGCAGACGAGAUGAGCUGACUCCUUACUGCCCUAGCUGGGCAAUCACUGUGUGUCCAGCAUCCCUGGCUCAGCUGUGGAGGUGUGGGAGUACAUCUAGGGGCUGAUCACACCCUCCAGUCACUGCAGCUCCUCUCAUGUUUACCUUUUGCUGAAAGGCAUCAUCCCAGCACUUUUACCUUCUUACACACGGAGUACCAAAGCUGUGUAAUGAUCACCCUGACUGGCAUGCUGCUGUGCCAGUGCUCCCCAGUCACCCUUCCCUCACCAUUUGUCAGAUUCACUCCCUGCUUGUUGAAUCAGAAAACAAAUAAUGUGACUUUCUAGCUCAGAAGAAACAUUGCCCUUGGAGCUGGUAGCAUAUUGUGAGGAAAUGCAUUUGGUGUUGGUUUGUUGAGCUCAUUGUCUGCCCUGCUUGCAGAUGAUGUUCCUCACUGUGCAGAGGGCACUCAACAAUGUCCUUCUGUCCUCACUUCUGAUUGUUUUCCAAGAGCUCUGCUCUCCAGUAACUUUGUGGUGGCUUCUCAGGUCAGGGCUCCUGUUUGUCCCUCUGAGGCUGGGCAGUUCUUGUCUGGUGCACAGGCUGUGACAGGAUGCAAUAUUAAUGACACAGCAGGGAAAAUCAGCAGUGGAUUAUUCCUGCCAUGGGGAGAGUCCCAGCUUGGCCUGUGUUUUCUGUGAAAAGCCUGCAGAGCAGUACCUGAGCCCACUCCACGUUUUGCCUUACCAGAUUUACGUUUCCUGAGCAAGGACUUGGAGAGGGUGACCUCUGCUAUCCCAUGCUCUGUGCAGCACACUCUUGCUGUAGUAUGGGAAGCACAGAUUGCUCUUAUUUAUCAAGAGUUCUCCAGUCUCCCUCUCAGCAGACACAGGAUUCCACAGGAUUUCUCAGCUGGCCUCUCAGUCCUGUUUGCAGCUCUGGCUGCUCCUCUGUCACUCACACUCACGUCCUUCAUCCUCAGGCCAGCAUUCCUGAGUGCCUGUGCAGCCCUGGCUCCCCAGCAUCUGCCAGCUUCCCCUCCAGCUCAGGAGCAAGGGCAGCCACAUCCAGCAGCACUUACACAGGAUCUGUCCCUCACUCAUUUCACAGAAUGGCUUUUAGAAAUGUUUCCAGCACUCAGCAGCUUCUGGCUCAGAUAUGGGGUCUUUCAUAUGCAAGUCCAUACAGAAUUUUGGGAUUUGGUCUCCUGAACCUGUUUAUUGGUAACAAAACAACAUUUCUAACCCAUCUUUUAAGUGCCUUUUUUAGCUGCCUCUUAGCCAGCUUUAACCCCCCUAGUGAAUCACAUCUCCCCUCUUGCUUUUUUACCCUGGGUGUUGCACUUCCGUCUGUGAUGCAGAACACAGUGCUGGAAUUCACACCAGAAUGGUGCCCUUGACCUCCCUGUGACCCCUCAAUUCCACUGCAGUGGCUCACUUGUUCUUGCUGGCUUUCAGUUUCUGUUACCCACCAUGAAACUUGGGACUCAUUUCCCUGGGAGUGGCACUGGGGGAUGUUUAUGUGUGUUCCUGCACAGUUAGGGCAUUGAUCCCUGGCAGUCCAUGCAACUUGCGCUGUCCAUGCUGGGGUCAGCUGGGCAGGGAUCAGCCCUUUGUGGGGCUCACCUCGGGGACAGAAGGUGGUGGCUCCCCCUCUCCCGUCCCUGCUCUGCUCCCGUUUCUGUCCCAGUGCUUGUCCUGCAGGGUUCUGUGUCCCUGCUGCCCUGACCCUGACCCAGCUGUGCUGGCUCCCAGAGCUGGGGGCAGCCCAGCCUUGCUGGAUCCCAGCCCAUCUGAGGAGCAGCUUCCCCUCUAGCUGCCAGCAGCCAGGCUUUCCCAGUUCCCAUGUUUUCCUUGUCCUUCCCCAGUUUGUACUUUCUCUCUGCCAAGCUCUCUGGCAGCUCAGGGUGGAGUGCUGCUGGAGCACUCUCUGUUGUUACAGGCUCAUGGAGUGCUUUGCUUUUGCCUCUGUCACAAUUUCACAGCAGAAAAGCUUCUAUCAUUUUGGGGUGUUGUUGAACCCUGCAGCUGGUGCUUCCUGCCAUGCAGGGACUCUGGAACAGGGAUUUCUCAAAUAGCAGCCAGGGAGCUGCCCCAGCACCAGCAGCGGGAAUGGUGAAAAGCUGCUGGAGCCAGGAGGGCAGAUAGACAGGAAGGGAAAUGUUUAAAAAAUACAUUAGCUCUAUUAGGAGAUACUCUUCAGCUCCCAGGGAAAAGGAAACACUGAGAAUAGGAGGAAGGAAGGAAGUGCAGCCGAGAAUGAGGAUAUGGGCACUUGUAGGGGGUGUGGAGGAGAGGAAUGCUUGGGGAGAGGCAGGAGGGGGAAAUUAGGAGGCACAUUUUGGUGUUCCAUUGCCUGCCAAUACAAAGCAGUGCCAAGAUGCUCUGGUACUGUUCCAAGGUGGCUUCAACUCCUCAGACUGGUCAAUCUAAAGUUUCAGUAAGAUUUAUGAGUUGCAUUGUGUGUCUUCAAAACAGAAGGAAUAAUUCUUUUACUGUUGCAUUCAUUACAGAUAGACAUAUAUCUUUAUAUGCAUAUUUAAUAACAAAAAGCAAGGAAAAAUAUUAAAGUUAAGGCUAAAUGUUCUACAUUGGCAUUUCAUUAGUUCAGGAAUUUUAGCUUUUGGAAAAACUAAAAUUCUAAAAGAGAAAUUCACUCUGUAAUUGUGGUGUUAAGUUAAAGCCAACCCUCUUUUAAAGAGUGAGAAUUGACAUUCCAGUAACCACUCAUCUGCAGAGACAAGAACUGAAUUUUACCUUGCAUGCCAUCAGAUGAAAUUAUUUGAUUUUGUAAGAAUUAUUGGAGAAUUUGCACAGAAGGCUCUUGGAUGUAUUGAGGUGCUCUACUAAGAUUUUAAAUCUAAGAUUUGAAGAGUAAUUAAGUAAGGGAGAGUAGCUUUUACUGUCAAGAAGAAAGACAGGCUGUAUUUCAUCUGUGAUUUUGCUUGUGAAAACAAGUUAAAGCUAGGUAUAAAUUCACAUUUUACUUUCUAAUGCUGUAACAACAAAAUGGAGUUUCUGUUGCUCGUUGUCUGCUUCAAAUACAAACUGUUUGAAGGAGAUUUUACUCCCCAAAAAAAAAGAAACUCGGCAAAGUAUCAGGUGCCUUUGCUGCUGAUCAUGGAAAGCUGGGCAGCACUGCUUUAGUGGCAAGCAAAGAGCAGGGUGGGACAUGGAGGUGUCAGAUGGGAAAUGGGUCCCCAAGCUAAGAGGGGCAUCCCUGUGCUGCAGCCUGGCUGGCACAUUGGGCAGCCCUGGCACUUCAGUGCUGCCUGUGGCUUGGGAAAUGCCAUGGUGCACAGGUCAUGGCUUCCAUCACAGAGAGAGGGAAAAUCUCCUCCUGUGAUCUUCCCCCUUGCCUGUGCCCUUCUCCAUGCUGUGGUGUUUAAGGGUUUUUCCCUAUCUGAACUCUGCAUUCUCCAGGCACAUGCUCCCAGCCACCGGGCUUGGCUGUGUCCUUGUCCUCAGCCACUCCCAAGCUGGAACUGUUUGAAAUUGCUGCUGUUGGGACUUUGGGCACGUUUUUGUCCCCUUUUGGCUGAGUGUUGAUUGCAGCCCCAAAGGCACAUCCACACUUGUGUUGCAGGGACAGAGCAGAGCUGAGAGCUCUGGAGCAGUGUCCCUGCACUCAGGGUCUGGCAGAGCUGUUUAUUCACAGGCUGGUGCCAUGCACUGCCUGCACAAGCAAACAUUUUGGAUACCAUCAAUUUCUUUGCCCCUCUGAUUUAAUUUAGGCAUUCCAUGUGGCACUUUAAAAUAAAGAAUUCCCUAGGGGUCCAUUGCGGAAACAGAGUUCCUCUUGGCCUUUGCCCAGUGUUACACCAAGGGAUCACGUUUAAGGACAUCUAUUGUAGCUAUUGCCUAGAAAAAGCAGUUCAGCCAUAAUAGGUUGCUUGUGUACACUUUCAGCAAACCUUUAAAUAUUUAUACUUUCUAAUUUAUGGUGUGUGCUCCCUUCCUUAAAUAAAGAGCUAUCCUGAAUAUUAUCCAUCUAACUCUUCCAAAAACACCAACUGGAGCACUAACCCAAACAAAACUCUUCCAUUGUAUUGCUGUUCUUAGUUUACAGCAGUUCCACACUAUUUAAGAGUUUUUUUUCCCUUUUGUGAGUGCUUAGUAUAGAGGAAGCAGUUGCAAACUGCUGUUGGAAGGAUCUAAAGAGCAAGCAAUGAUGAGUUUUACUGAAUUUCUCUCUUCCCUUUAGAAGACAGACUUGCCCCCAAAAGGACCUUUUAUUUCAAAGUAUUUUUAACAAAACAUGUGUUUUCUAUGAAGGAUUGAAAGAUAAUUCAUUUUUAAGUUGAACCAAAGAGGAAAAAAAAAAAAACCAAAACCAGAGGAUGUAACUUUUGAUGAAGCAUCUCUGUUGACUUUGCUCUUGUUUGAGGAGACUCUCUUGAGUUGUGUUUGUUUUUUGUGGCACCUUGUUUAUGAACUGCAGGGCAGACAGUUCCCAGCACAGCUCAGGGCACAGACACCUUGGCUCCUUUCCACACCACACAAAUGCAGCAGCCCAGGGGAGCCUCCCUGCUUCACUCAGGCCCCAGGAAGGACCUGAAAUGUGUGACAGGGACCUGAAAUGUGUGACAAACCAGGCCAGGUUGGUGCCUGCAAGUGAAGCUGUUUUUUCUGCUUGGUUGUAAAAUAUUUCUGUUUUCUCUUCCAUCUACAACUGGAAUACCCUUCCUAGUCAUCUUCCCAGCCCUGGGAGCUUCUUGCUGAAGGUAACACCACAUGUGGCACUCAGAUUAUGUGAUGAUAUAUUCUGAGAGUAGCCCUGCAAAUCUUUAUUCAGUAAUAAGAUAUUUCGCUUGCUGAUAAGUUUUUAUUUUAGGCAGGGUCCUGCCAAUUAUUUUCACUUACUCUGCCACCUACAGUCACCUCAUUAGCAGUGUCUACACCGUGAUACAACUGCUUCUGCCUGUGUUUGUCCUUCCCAUUUUCCCCGAAUAAACACUACUAAUAUGUGAUGGGAAGGUUUCCAGGCAGGCUCUGUCACCUCCUCCUCAGUGUAAAUGUGAUGGCAGCCUUGUUUCUCUGCAGGCUUUCUGGGUUCUGUGUCCUCCUGGCCUGAAGGCUUUGUGUUUCAGCAAGCAUUCUGCUUUCCUUUAGGAGAGUUACUGAGUUGUGUGUGCCCACAUUCACCACCACUGAACUCCCUGGUGCUGAACUCUCACUAGAGCAGCUGCUCAACACUGGAGACUUUCAGCAGUUCCACUUCAUUUACUGGUGCCAAGCCCUUGAAAAAUCUGUCAGAAGCUGAGGAGAUUCAACAGGGAUUGGAGACCACUUCAAGAAUUUAAUGUUUUCUUGAAGUUCUUGUUGAGUGACACUUUGACAGGAGCUGAAACUGGAACUGCAGGACUUAGGGCAGGGUUUGGGGGAUCGGGACCAGGAAGGGGUGCCCAGAGGUGGGAAUUGUGUUACCUGUCUGCUCUAGGACUGUGUUUCCCUCGGCCAGCCCCUGCUAGCAGCCAGGGGCAGAGCCAGCCUGGCACUCUCCUAAAGCCCUGAGCAAUCUGGGGACGCUGCCCUGCAGUGCCUAGAUGUCACUUCCAUUACUCUCACAUCCCUUCACAGAGGAGCUCAUUGCUGCAGAAAUUCCCUGCUCCUGCUGCUCCUGUAAAUAUACCUGUGACUUUGAGCAGGGACAGAGUUUCCCCAUGACUUCCCUCGGGUUUGACUGGGAGCCCUCCAUGAAUUUUGUGUGUGUCCUGUCGCUGUUCUCUCCUCUGGAGCAGACUCAUGGCUGUUUCACCAUUGCUUUGUGUGGUGCCAGCAUGGGGGGCCUGGCUCUUCAUUAGCUGUCCAUAUGUACAGCAAUAACUUCUGUAAUUAUUUCUGAGAGCGCCUGCAGGACACAAGGAGGUGGCACUCACACAUCACAGGCCCUGUUGCACGAGGAAGGGAGGCACCAUGGCCCUGCCCUGUGGAGCAGAUGUGUCUGGGAUGCAGAGUGCACAUGCCACAUGUGGGCCAGCUAGGACACAAAAUGACAAUUUUAAUCAAAGUCUCCGCAUUUCCCAAGCAUUAGGCAGCAGAUUGCUGGGAGUGGAAGUGGGUCACACGUUGUGCUGAGUGAUUGUGCUUUGUCCUUUGCCAUCUGGCAGCAUGAAUCAACGUCAGCUGCGGGCAAACAGAGCUCUGCAAGGUGACCCUGGCUGCAGGAGCAGCCUGGGCAGGGCCUGCAGGAGCUCACCUGCAGUCCUGGCAGGGAAAAGCCCCCAGGAAGAGGGGUGGGACUCUGGGAGCCCUUAUGGCCACCACUGCCAUAAGUCAAUGGCAUUGCUUCCCUCUCUCUGUGGGCACUCACAGGGCAGGGCCAGGGAUGCACUGGGGCUCAGAGCAGGUGUACAUGACAUGGAAAGUGCCAAAAAA